rnacentral:rRNA from 1 species
CGGGGUGAGUAACGCGUGGAUAACCUGCCUCACACUGGGGGAUAACAGUUAGAAAUGACUGCUAAUACCGCAUAAGCGCACAGUACCGCAUGGUACAGUGUGGAAAACUCCGGUGGUGUGAGAUGGAUCCGCGUCUGAUUAGCCAGUUGGCGGGGUAACGGCCCACCAAAGCGACGAUCAGUAGCCGACCUGAGAGGGUGACCGGCCACAUUGGGACUGAGACACGGCCCAA